UGAUGACGAUGACGACGAUGAUGAAGAAUCUCGGGACUCCACAUAGUAUGUGCAAUGACAUGAUGAACUGUGGCCAAGUGAGUCAACUGUAAGCCAUCGACUGGGUACCGAGUGAAGGGAACAUACCUUUAGCUAUUUCCUCCAAGGUCUACCCCUACAUCCUAAGCUGUAGCCUGGUCAGUCUGGAAGUAGGGAGACUUGCUGUCCUCAAAAGUCAGUUCAGUGUACAACAUGGACAUGGCACCAAUCUUGAAAUCAUCCUCUACAUAGAAUUCCAGUGUGAACAAUUAAUUGGUAUCUAUGAGGUAUGACGAAAGAGAGACGAUGGAUUUGACACUGAACUCGUAAUAAACAUGUACACCCAUCAUCUUAUUCUGAUUAUUCAAGAUAGACGUGGCUGCAAUGGAGUUUUACUUGACAUGAGUUUAAUCACCUGCAAACUUUUCUGAUACCA